UACGGAGGGUGCAAGCGUUAUCCGGAUUCACUGGGUUUAAAGGGUGUGUAGGCGGGUAUUUAAGUCAGUGGUGAAAUCUCCAGGCUCAACCUGGAAACUGCCAUUGAUACUAUUUACCUUGAAUUCUGUUGAGGUGGGCGGAAUACAUCAUGUAGCGGUGAAAUGCUUAGAUAUGAUGUAGAACACCAAUUGCGAAGGCAGCUCACUAAACAGACAUUGACGCUGAGGCACGAAAGCGUGGGGAUCAAAC
rnacentral:rRNA from 1 species